rnacentral:rRNA from 1 species
AGCAGCAGCCGCGGUAAUACGUAGGUGGCAAGCGUUGUCCGGAAUUAUUGGGCGUAAAGGGCUCGCAGGCGGUUUCUUAAGUCUGAUGUGAAAGCCCCCGGCUCAACCGGGGAGGGCCAUUGGAAACUGGGAAACUUGAGUGCAGAAGAGGAGAGUGGAAUUCCACGUGUAGCGGUGAAAUGCGUAGAGAUGUGGAGGAACACCAGUGGCGAAGGCGACUCUCUGGUCUGUAACUGACGCUGAGGAGCGAAAGCGUGGGGAGCGAACAGGAUUAGAUACCCCAGUAGUCCCUGUCUCUUAUAC